GCCCGGCUAGCUCAGUCGGUAGAGCAUGAGACUCUUAAUGUCAGGCUAGUGGGUUCGAGCCCCUCGAUAGGCG
rnacentral:tRNA from 1 species